CCUACGGGUGGCAGCAGUGAGGAAUAUUGGUCAAUGGGCGCGAGCCUGAACCAGCCAAGUCGCGUGAGGGAAGACGGUCCUAUGGAUUGUAAACCUCUUUUGUCGGGGAGCAAAAGACGCCACGCGUGGCGUUCCGAGAGUACCCGAAGAAAAAGCAUCGGCUAACUCCGUGCCAGCAGCCGCGGUAAUACGGAGGAUGCGAGCGUUAUCCGGAUUUAUUGGGUUUAAAGGGUGCGCAGGCGGAAGAUCAAGUCAGCGGUAAAAUUGAGAGGCUCAACCUCUUCGAGCCGUUGAAACUGGUUGUCUGGCGUGCGUGAGAAGUAGGCGGAAGGCGGGGUGUAGCGGGG
rnacentral:rRNA from 1 species